UACGUAGGCAGCAAGCGUUGUUCGGAGUUACGUGGCGUAAAGGGUGUGUAGGCGGUUGGAUAAGUGUGGUGUGAAAUCUCCCGGCUCAACUGGGAGGGUGCGCUACAAACUGUCUGACUAGAGUGUGGGAUGGGUAAGUGGAAUUCCUGGUGUAGCGGCGAAAUGCGUAGAUAUCGGGAGGAACACCGGUGGCGAAGGCGGCAUUCUGGACCAUAACUGACACUGAGAGACGAAAGCCAGGGGAGCAAACGGG
rnacentral:rRNA from 1 species